GAACAUCCACAGGCUGGCCAGCCCCCUAUCGCUUCGAAAGGCUCACCCUCAAGCAUGACUAGGAGC
rnacentral:pre_miRNA from 1 species